AAACAUUUCUUUUAGAUUAAAAUUUAAAGUUAGUUCUGCUCAAUGAUUAUUAAUUAAAUAGCUGCAGUAUAUUAACUGUACAAAGGUAGCAUAAUAAAUUGUUUUUUAAAUGAAAACUAGAAUGAAGGAAUAAAUGAAAUAUAAACUUUAUUAAUAAUUAAUUUUAAAAUUUAUAUUUAAGUUAAAAAGCUUAAAUUUAUUAAUGGGACGAUAAGACCCUAUAGAAUUUUAUAAAGGUUUUAAUAUAAAAUUAAUAUUUUUUUUUAUUAAAAGUUUUAUUUUUUUGGGAGGAAAUUAAAAUUUAUUUAACUUUUAAAAAUUAAAUACAAUAAUAAUUGAUAAUAAGUAGAGUUUUGUUAAUAAAUUUUAAAUUAAAUUACCUUAGGGAUAACAGCAUAAUAUUUUUUGAUAGUUCAUAUUGAAAAAAAUGUUU
rnacentral:rRNA from 1 species